rnacentral:rRNA from 1 species
CCUACGGGAGGCAGCAGUGGGGAAUAUUGGACAAUGGGCGAAAGCCUGAUCCAGCAAUGCCGCGUGAGUGAAGAAGGCCUUCGGGUUGUAAAGCUCUUUUACCCGGGAAGAUAAUGACUGUACCGGGAGAAUAAGCCCCGGCUAACUCCGUGCCAGCAGCCGCGGUAAUACGGAGGGGGCUAGCGUUGUUCGGAAUUACUGGGCGUAAAGCGUACGUAGGCGGCUUUGUAAGUCAGAGGUGAAAGCCCACGACUCAAUCGUGGAACUGCCUUUGAGACUGCUUCGCUUGAAGAUGGGAGAGGUUAGUGGAAUUCCGAGUGUAGAGGUGAAAUUCGUAGAUAUUCGGAAGAACACCAGUGGCGAAGGCGGCUAACUGGACCAUUCUUGACGCUGAGGUACGAAAGCGUGGGAGCAAACAGGAUUAGAUACCCUGGUAGUCCACGCCGUAAACGAUGAUAACUAGCUGUCGGGGCUCUUGGGUAGUCGUCGGUGGCGCGACGACGUACGACUAUUAAGUUAGUCCGUCCGUCGGGUAGGUACGGUCCGCGAACGGUUAAACGUAACGUAAACGGAAGUAGUACGGACGUAGAGACGUGACCGACGGACGACGACGAGGGAGAGG